rnacentral:tRNA from 1 species
GCUGGAGUGGCGAAAUUGGUAGACGCGCUACGUUCAGGUCGUAGUGGAGGCAACUCCAUGGAGGUUCAAGUCCUCUCUCCAGCA